GCGCCCAUAGCUCAGCUGGAUAGAGUAGCUGGCUUCGAACCAGUUGGUCGGGGGUUCGAAUCCCUCUGGGCGUACCA
rnacentral:tRNA from 1 species